UGAAUGCCAAGAGUGUGGCCAAAGGUUCAUUUGCGAGAGUAAAUUCAACACACACACCCUUACACACACUGGUGAAGGACCUCAUGAAUGCCAAGAGUGUGGCCAAAGGUUCAGUUGCGAGAGUAAACUCAACACACACACCCUUACACACACUGGUGAACGACCCCAUGAAUGCCAAGAGUGUGGCCAAAGGUUCAGUUCCGAGAGUAAACUCAACACACACACCCUUACACACACUGGUGAACGACCUCAUGAAUGCCAAGAGUGUGGCAAAGUGCUCAGUUGCGAGAGUAAUCUCAACACACACACCCUUACACACACUGGUGAACGACCUCAUGAAUGUGAACUUUGUGGCCAAAGGUUUACACAGAAGGGUGGCCUCAACACACACACCCUGGUGAAAGGCCUCAUGAGUGUGAAGUUUUUGGCCAAAGGUUUACACAGAAGGGUGGCCUCAACACACACACACUGGUGAAAGGCCUCAUGAGUGUCUGGAAUGUGGAGAAAGGUUGAGAGAGAACCAAACCCGGGAGCGUCACAUGUUCAGACACUCUGGCCUGAGAGAGUUCAAGUGUGUGGGAAGCACUUUAACACAAAGGGGCACAUUGCCCGGCACAUGAAGACCCACCUCUGAGGUGGUGUGUUGUGCUGCUGUGUGUGUGUGACGGGGAGCCAGUCAUCAACACCACCUGGGGAGGACUGGCACAGUGUUGUGGCUGACUGCUGAGAGAUGCACCAACACCACAGUGAGCAGUGCAGUCUGCCCCGAGCCACCUUGCCCCGGCACAGUGCAGCAGCCAACACCACAGUGAACAGUGCAGUCUGCCCCGAGCCACCUUGCCCCGGCACAGUGCAGCAGCCAACACCACAGUGAACAGUGCCGUCAGCCCCGAGCCACCUUGUCCCGGCACAGUGCAGCAGCCAACACCACAGUGAACAGUGCCGUCUGCCCCGAGCCACCUUGUCCCGGCACAGUGCAGCAGCCAACACCACAGUGAACAGUGCCGUCUGCCCCGAGGCACCUUGUCCCGGCACAGUGCAGCAGCCAACACCACAGUGAACAGUGCCGUCUGCCCCGGGCCACCUUGCCCCGGCACAGUGCAGCAGCCAACACCACAGUGAACAGUGCCGUCUGCCCCGGGCCACCUUGCCCCGGCACAGUGCAGCAGCGGUGACUCAGGUUGCCACAACAGACCAUCGGCAGGAUUACCAAGGGGACGCUGUGUGAGGGUUUGUCAAGUUUCCCUGCGCUCCACAAGAAACCCGGCCCAGCAGAGACCACUGGGGCAGAGUGCCGGCCUGGGAGCUGUGAUGGCUUGUUAAACCCGGCCCGGCAGAGACCACUGGGGCAGAGUGCCGGCCUGGGAGCUGUGAUGGCUUGUUAAACCCGGCCCGGCAGAGACCACUGGGGCAGAGUGCCGGCCUGGGA